rnacentral:rRNA from 1 species
GAAAAUAACUAUGAUUCCUUAGUAACGGCGAGUGAACAGGGAAAAGCCCAAAUUUGUAAUCUGGCACUUUUUACGAGUGUCCGAGUUGUAAUUUGUGGAACUGUUAUCCGCGCUGGACCAUGUACAAUUCUGUUGAAAAGCAGCAUUAUUGAAGGUGAAAAUCCUGUAGAUGAUAUGGACUACCAGUGCAUUUGUGAUACGGUUUCUAAGAGUCGAGUUGUUUGGGAAUGCAGCUCAAAGUGGGUGGUAAAUUCCAUCUAAGGCUAAAUAUAAGUGAGAGACCGAUAGCAAACAAGUACCGUGAGGGAAAGAUGAAAAGAACUUUGAAAAUAGAGUUAACAGUACGUGAAAUUGCUGAAAGGGAAACGUUUGAAGUUAGUAUUGUAUUCGUUGGAUCAGCUUCGCAAGGAGUGUAUUCUGAUGAUAAGCAAGUCAACAUCAAUCUUUGGGUGUUGGAUAAGGGUUUUGAGGAUGUAGCAAUUUAAUUGUGUUAUAACUUGAGACUUGGAUACAAUGCUUGGGAUUGAGGAACGCGUAGUAAGCUUUGAGCGGAUUCGAAAGGAUCUCCUUACUAUGGAUGUUGGUGAAAUAUCUUUAAGCGACC